GGUUAAGCGACUAAGCGUACACGGUGGAUGCCCUGGCAGUCAGAGGCGAUGAAGGACGUGCUAAUCUGCGAUAAGCGUCGGUAAGGUGAUAUGAACCGUUAUAACCGGCGAUUUCCGAAUGGGGAAACCCAGUGUGUUUCGACACACUAUCAUUAACUGAAUCCAUAGGUUAAUGAGGCGAACCGGGGGAACUGAAACAUCUAAGUACCCCGAGGAAAAGAAAUCAACCGAGAUUCCCCCAGUAGCGGCGAGCGAACGGGGAGCAGCCCAGAGCCUGAAUCAGUGUGUGUGUUAGUGGAAGCGUCUGGAAAGGCGCGCGAUACAGGGUGACAGCCCCGUACACAAAAAUGCACAUGCUGUGAGCUCGAUGAGUAGGGCGGGACACGUGGUAUCCUGUCUGAAUAUGGGGGGACCAUCCUCCAAGGCUAAAUACUCCUGACUGACCGAUAGUGAACCAGUACCGUGAGGGAAAGGCGAAAAGAACCCCGGCGAGGGGAGUGAAAAAGAACCUGAAACCGUGUACG
rnacentral:rRNA from 1 species